GUUUAGGUGGCCCUGCUCUGGCCGUGGGUUGGACUGGGUGGUCUCCAGAGGUCCCUUCCAACUCCUACAGUUCUGGGAUUCUGUUAGCUCCGGGGUGGUUUGUUUGUGCAGCAGAUACCGUGUUGGGUUUGCUCAAAGAGGCCCAGACUGGAGAGCUCCCGACGAUGCUGGGGUGGGAAGGACAUGGAUUAGCUUUGGGGUUUUUCCACUGAUCCCAUUACGUGUUGUACCUGGAGGUGGGGGUUGAGCUUAAGAUGUUCAUACUGAGGACAAAGCUCGUUCAAAUCACAAAAAGGCUGGGCACAAGGACAAUAUGCGUCUUGAUUCUUCUUUUUCUUCUUUUCUCUAUUUUUUGAUGCUCUUUCUGUUUCUCGUGGAUGUUUGGAACAGCUUUGUGGUUACUUGAUCAUUGCAAACGCACGCUGCCAUGACAUCGAUUCACGAGCAGUGGAUGUCACGGAGAAAUUUCAAUACCAAAGGUAGCAGAGGUGAAUUUUUUUUUUACAUCCAUGUGUACACAGAGACACGCGCGCACACACACGAAACCCAGAAAAAUGUGCUUCCUUUUCACUGGUCCUUACUGCAAACACACACCCAUCUUUCUUCUGCGUGUUUCCUCCACCUUUUGCCCAUUUGGGAUUCGGAGAAUCUAGAGAGACUCUUUGGGGACUGCUCAAGAGAUGGUAUCGGUGCCUUACGGAGGCCACAAUUUCCUUUUUUUUGGUUGUUGUUGUUUUUUUUAACGAAUGCCAGUUGAAAAAUUGCGGUGUGGCUGAUCUUUCAGUGCCUGGUGAGAGGCAGCAGUUGGGUAGAUGAGCUCAGAAGCGUAGGUUGGCCAUGCCAACGCCAUCGGUCCCCUCAGACCACCCUGUCCUAACCGUCUUCAUCGCACUUUUGGUGGCCUUAGCACACGUGGGAAUUAAACCAAUCACCAUCCCAGGUUGUAGAAUCGAAACGAGUUAGUGUGGGAGGGGUUCUCCUGUUAUUUAUUUUAAUUGAGUUGUGCAGUGGAAGAGGAUAAUUGGACAUUGGUGCCCAUAACUUCAUGGAGUUCAUUUCAGUUGGGUUUUUUUUUUUUUUUUGGUUUGUUUUCGGUCUUCAGAACGACAAAGGUCUUGGUCUUCAAAACAACAAAGGUCUUGGUCUUCAAACUGACAAAGGUCUUGGUCUUCAAAACAGGAAAGGUCUUGGUCUUCAUCGUCAAACAGAGAAAGGCCUUGGUCGCUGAGAUCUGUUUAAUCUUCCUGUACAUAGAUGUCGUGGAAACCAUAGUGCGCGUGGGUACGUGCAAACCAGUGACACACAAGCACAACCCUCCAAGUGUGACAGUGCUCUUUUUCUCAGCCAUCGUGCGAGACAAUUCACUGAAAGCUGCUAUUUUCAUUCACCUUGUAAUUGUACUUUAUAUUUUUUUUUCUACAUUAUUCUUUUUUUUUUUUUCUUUUUUUUGGGGGGGGGGAGGGGGUUUGUUUUUACAUGUGGGAUAUUACACCAUGUGUUAAAUAUGCAAUAAAUUGUUUACAGGAUGCUCUUGUGAAGGGCAGUCCUCUGUAAAGCUGUACAGACUCGGCAGUCGAAGCACAAUGUGCACACGAUAGUUUUAUAUACGGCGAGACGGGACUUUUUGCAGAGGGAAAGGUUCUACUAUGUUUCUAUACAAAGUAAAUGGGUCAACGUUUGUGCUUAAUGUAAAGCUGCUUUAUAAGACUGUAAAAUAAAUCUUUUUUUUUUUUUUUAAAUCUUAAAA